rnacentral:rRNA from 1 species
GAGUUUAAUCGUGGCUCAGAUUGAACGCUGGCGGCAGGCUUAGCACAUGCAAGUCGAGCGGGGAGAUUGCUUCGGUAAUUGACCUAGCGGCGGACGGGUGAGUAAUACUUAGGAAUCUGCCUAUUAAUGGGGGACAACAUCUCGAAAGGGAUGCUAAUACCGCAUACGCCCUACGGGGAAAGGCAGGGGAGUCACUUGUGACCUUGCGUUAAUAGAUGAGCCUAAGUCGGAUUAGCUAGUUGGUGGGGUAAAGGCCUACCAAGGCGACGAUCUGUAGCGGGUC